AUUAUAUAAAAAAAUGUUUGAGUCUCUCCCGCAAUGUCCACGUGGAAACUCUUUCAAUUUAGAGGCGACGCGUGUCCGAGAAGUAUGAAACUCAUCGUUUCAUUUACUUUACUUGGAAAUUGGAUGGGCUUAUAUAUCGUUAAUUUUAUAGGCUUCGUUGGGCUUCAUGUUUUAUCCAAGUCUUCGAUCCCGAUAGCAAGUUAGGCUUAUCGUCUCAAACCAAAUUUUAGGGUUCGCAAUCCUCUUCGAUCUCCAACAACGACGAUGUUCAUAGUUCAUAUGUGCUCACCACACCAGCAAUGGAGGAUCUCUGUGUGUCUCUUCAAUCAGCUAGACAUUCUUUCCUACAAACCGUUACGGGAUGCUUUGAUUCAUCUUCAUUAAUGACCGUCUUAACUCAUUCGGCCACUCCAAGCACGUUUCCUCAUUCAAUGCAUCUUCCCUUUGUACAAGGAGAGUCUUUCCUACGGCUUCAAGUGUUUAAGGAAUUGAUAUCAAUCUCGCUUAUGGAUUUCAGACUCACGACUUCCACUUCCUUCAAUCAAGGGUCUUUAAAAAAUAUUACGUGUUUGCCGAAGGGGAAGAAGAUUCUGGAGGAGAAAUGGAUAAGUUUGAAGUCAAGCUUUCUAGAAGGAAGAAUUGGAUCACAGGUUAGUCUAAACUUCAUGAAUAAUAUGCGUCUGGGAUUUUAUGUCUCUUUGUGGACAGGUUACUUUGUUCUCUAAGCAGUAUAAGUAGAACUUUGAAGCAUAGAUUUUUUUUUUGGUUAUUGUGAUUUCAGCCAUCUGUUCUUCAUAUUUUCUUUACACAUUUUUCAUUCUAGAAUGGAGACUUUAAUCAGAUCAAACAAAUCAACCACACAAAUUUUGUAGAUAUUGUUUUGUUGUAGCAUUCGUUUUACUCUGCACUUGAAGUUGUGAUGCUGGUUGCUACCUCGCGAUCGCGAUUAAACUACGAUGACAUCGUUUUUAUGCCAUACGCCAACUUAGACUGAGAUGGAAACUUUCAUUUGCUUAAAGUAUUAGGUCUUCAAACUUCAUAUCCUGUUUAUUUCUUUGGUAUCUUCGUUUCCAGAAAUUGAUGUUUCUCAUUCAGAUGGCUUUGUCUGGGUGUCAAUUGACUGAAUGGAAUAAGCAUUCUUCUGCGAAGGAGGUGAUGCACAGGACUCAAAGAGACAUGUAUGUUCAUGAAAGAAACAAUGAAGGUUUCAUUUCAUUUCUUACUCUGGAAUAAAUAUUGCAACUGGAUCUUUGCAUUUUUUCCUCUAAACCUGAUCUCAAAGUUUUGUUCUUUAAUAAAUUUUCUUUUCUUUUGUGCUAAGCACAUACUCCACUACUGCACGCACAGGUUCACAUGUAAGGCUUUGGCCCACAGCCACUGGCUGGCGCCGGUCCAUCAGCAGCGCCGAGCUCAAAGGCAGUUAAAAGAUGUGAGUUGAAGUAUGAUCAUGAACGUAUAUGACUUGAUAGAUUUUGGUAAUAAGUUAAUUUGGAUGGCUGACACCUUCUUUUGGCACACUUCUGAAUGAUUUUAAUUUGUAACGGAUGGAGGUAGGCCAAUGAAGUCAAGAAUCUAACGUUUGUCACUUAGGAAGACUGCUAACGACUUUGACGAAGUUAUGAGGUAAUAAUUCUUUUCGCCAUGACAUGCGUUGGUGGAAGGAGGACGAUUCUGCAUCAUCUUCUUUGCGUCAAGUUUUUCCUUUGGUUUGCUUCAGAGUCAGGGAAAGCAGUGUUAACAUUUAUCUCUUGAACAAGCAGCCAUAAAAUUCUGAAAAAGAAAUUCAAUGCAACUCAGGAAAUGUUAAUCAGAUUGUGAAACGCAAAAGAAUAUGCUGGUUUCAAGUAUGUUUUGGAAACUUUGUUAGAGACUCUUGAUAUGACUUGGUUUCAAAAUAUUAAGAUUACGAUCCAUAUAUGGCCUCUUCUAAUCAAUUUUAAUCAUUUCUUUGAUAA